rnacentral:rRNA from 1 species
GAUGAACGCUGGCGGCGUGCCUAAUACGUGCAAGUCGAGCGAACGGACGAGAAGCUUGCUUCUCUGAUGUUAGCGGCGGACGGGUGAGUAACACGUGGAUAACCUACCUAUAAGACUGGGAUAACUUCGGGAAACCGUAGCUAAUACCGGAUAAUAUUUUGAACCGCAUGGUUCAAAAGUGAAAGACGGUCUUGCUGUCACUUAUAGAUGGAUCCGCGCUGCAUUAGCUAGUUGGUAAGGUAACGGCUUACCAAGGCAACGAUGCAUAGCCGACCUGAGAGGGUGAUCGGCCACACUGGAACUGAGACACGGUCCAGACUCCUACGGGAGGCAGCAGUAGGGAAUCUUCCGCAAAGGGCGAAAGCCUGACGGAGCAACGCCGCGUGAGUGAUGAAGGUCUUCGGAUCGUAAAACUCUGUUAUUAGGGAAGAACAUAUGUGUAAGUAACUGUGCACAUCUUGACGGUACCUAAUCAGAAAGCCACGGCUAACUACGUG